AUGACAACACUUGAGAAGAGAUAUACGUCCUUUACCUGCAAAAAUUUGCCAAUCCUGGGGCAAAAGAAAGAAGUGGAGGGAAUUUCCUCAAGCUUGAGGAACUUGAUAUCUUGGCUUCUAUUCUGUGGCAAGGAUGGACAAGGAAGCAGCCAGCCCACAUCACAAGUUUCCCUGGUCUGCCUGAAGUAUAUGCCCCGGUCUAGGUACCAGUCAAAGCAUGCAGCUGCACAUUUCUGCUGGAACAGAAAACUGCUAGAGUUACUACUUCAACCAUGACACCAAAUCUAUAAUAACUCCAUCGAUCAACUCAUUUCAAUCAUUUCUGAAAAAAAAAUUAACAACAUAAUAAAGAAGGUGCCUAACCUAUGAUAGCCUCCAGAUAGGAAUUUAAUACUCAAUCUCCUCCAU
rnacentral:lncRNA from 1 species